rnacentral:rRNA from 1 species
GACGAACGCUGGCGGCGUGCUUAACACAUGCAAGUCGAACGGAAAGGCCCUGCUUUUGUGGGGUGCUCGAGUGGCGAACGGGUGAGUAACACGUGAGUAACCUGCCCUUGACUUUGGGAUAACUUCAGGAAACUGGGGCUAAUACCGGAUAGGAGCUCCUGCUGCAUGGUGGGGGUUGGAAAGUUUCGGCGGGUGGGGAUGGACUCGCGGCUUAUCAGCUUGUUGGUGGGGUAGUGGCUUACCAAGGCUUUGACGGGUAGCCGGCCUGAGAGGGUGACCGGCCCCAUUGGGACUGAGAGACGGCACAGUCUCCUACGGGAGGCAGCAGUGGGGAGUAUUACACAAUGGGCGGAAGCCUAGUGCAGCAACGCCGGGUGCGGGAUGACGGCCUUCGGGGUGUAAACCGCUUACGCCUGAGACGAAGAGUGAGUGACGGUAAUGGGUAAAGAAGCACCGGCUAACUACGUG